rnacentral:rRNA from 1 species
GGGGCCCGGGGAACCGUACGAGGUGAAGUGGAUCGGGGUGAUGGUGCUUGCACUAUCACUUAGCGGCGGACGGGUGAGUAAUGCUUAGGAAUCUGCCUAUUAGUGGGGGACAACAUCUCGAAAGGGAUGCUAAUACCGCAUACGUCCUACGGGAGAAAGCAGGGGAUCACUUGUGACCUUGCGCUAAUAGAUGAGCCUAAGUCGGAUUAGCUAGUUGGUGGGGUAAAGGCCUACCAAGGCGACGAUCUGUAGCGGGUCUGAGAGGAUGAUCCGCCACACUGGGACUGAGACACGGCCCAAACUCCUACGGGAGGCAGCAGUGGGGAAUAUUGGACAAUGGGGGGAACCCUGAUCCAGCCAUGCCGCGUGUGUGAAGAAGGCCUUAUGGUUGUAAAGCACUUUAAGCGAGGAGGAGGCUCUUUUGGUUAAUACCCAAGAUGAGUGGACGUUACUCGCAAAAUAAGCACCGGCUAACUCUGUGCCAGCAGCCGCGGUAAUACAGAGGGUGCAAGCGUUAAUCGGAUUUACUGGGCGUAAAGCGCGCGUAGGCGGCCAAUUAAGUCAAAUGUGAAAUCCCCGAGCUUAACUUGGGAAUUGCAUUCGAUACUGGUUGGCUAGAGUGUGGGAGAGGAUGGUAGAAUUCCAGGUGUAGCGGUGAAAUGCGUAGAGAUCUGGAGGAAUACCGAUGGCGAAGGCAGCCAUCUGGCCUAACACUGACGCUGAGGUGCGAAAGCAUGGGGAGCAAACAGGAUUAGAUACCCUGGUAGUCCAUGCCGUAAACGAUGUCUACUAGCCGUUGGGGCCUUUGAGGCUUUAGUGGCGCAGCUAACGCGAUAAGUAGACCGCCUGGGGAGUACGGUCGCAAGACUAAAACUCAAAUGAAUUGACGGGGGCCCGCACAAGCGGUGGAGCAUGUGGUUUAAUUCGAUGCAACGCGAAGAACCUUACCUGGCCUUGACAUAGUAGAAACUUUCCAGAGAUGGAUUGGUGCCUUCGGGAUCUACAUACAGGUGCUGCAUGGCUGUCGUCGCUCGUGUCGUGAAAUGUUGGGUUAGUCCCGAACGAGCGCACCCUUUUCUUACUUGCAGCAUUUCGGAGGGAACUUUAAGGAACUGCCGUGACAACUGGAGGAAGGGGGGGACGACGUCAAGUCUUCAUGGCCUUACGGCAGGGUUCCCCCUGCUAAAUGGGCGGUACAAAGGGUGCUCCCUACGAAAGGAGGUAAUCCAAAACCAUCGGUUCCCGGAUUGAGUUGCACCCACUCCUGAAGCGGAACCCUUAAUCCGGAAAAAAACCCGGGAAAAUUUCCG